UACGUAGGGUGCGAGCGUUGUCCGGAAUUACUGGGCGUAAAGAGCUCGUAGGUGGUUUGUCGCGUUGUCCGUGAAAACUCACAGCUUAACUGUGGGCGUGCGGGCGAUACGGGCAGACUGGAGUACUGCAGGGGAGACUGGAAUUCCUGGUGUAGCGGUGGAAUGCGCAGAUAGUCAGGAGGAACACCGGUGGCGAAGGCGGGUCUCUGGGCCACUACUGACGCUGAGAAGCGAAAGCAUGGGGAGCGAACAGG
rnacentral:rRNA from 1 species